rnacentral:piRNA from 1 species
UACAUGCAAUGUUCUACAAAUUCGGG